CCUGCAGGACAGGGGGAUCUUGAGGACUGGGUUGGGGACUAUUGCUUUACAGGGAGUGUAGUGUGCUUCACGGACAUGGCUUAAUGGCAACACGCCUGAUUCCUGUGUGGACUUAACUGGACGCGAAUGUGAGAGGCAAGAGCAAAGUAUCCAUCAAACUGCCUCCGGGAGGCGCUAUAGAGCCGCUGCAGCAACCAAGAACAUUUACAAAACGUCUUUCAUACCAAAUGCAAGAACUCUGCUAAACUGGAAAACAGCAUCACAGUGGAACCAGAUUUGAACCCCGGUAUGGCCAGUACAUGUUGUUAUGGAUCCCAAAGCUUUUCUUGGCAAGACACGCCCUGCAAACCAUUAAACAAACUCUGACUGGCUAGUAUUUGUUGCCACUCAUUGCC